rnacentral:rRNA from 1 species
ACAGAGGUGGCAAGCGUUGUUCGGAAUUAUUGGGCGUAAAGAGCACGUAGGCGGCCCUACAAGUCAGCUGUGAAAUCCUUCUGCUCAACGGAAGAACGGCAGUUGAUACUAUAGGGCUGGAGUGCGGGAGGGGAGAGUGGAACUUCUGGUGGAGCGGUGAAAUGCGUAGAGAUCCGGAGGAACACCAGAGGCGAAGGCGACACCCUGGGCCGUACCUGACGCUAAGACGCGACAGCACGGGGAGCGAACGG